UACGUAGGUGGCAAGCGUUAUCCGGAUUUAUUGGGCGUAAAGGGAACGCAGGCGGUCUUUUAAGUCUGAUGUGAAAGCCUUCGGCUUAACCGGAGUAGUGCAUUGGAAACUGGGAGACUUGAGUGCAGAAGAGGAGAGUGGAACUCCAUGUGUAGCGGUGAAAUGCGUAGAUAUAUGGAAGAACACCAGUGGCGCAAGCGGCUCUCUGGUCUGUAACUGACGCUGAGGUUCGAAAGCGUGGGUAGCAAACAGG
rnacentral:rRNA from 1 species